AUAAGAGGUCCAGCCUGCCCAGUGAUAAAAUUCAACGGCCGCGGUACUCUGACCGCGCGAAGGUAGCAUAAUCAUUUGUUCCUUAAAUAGGGACUAGUAUCAAUGGCAUCACGAGGACUGUACUGUCUCCUUUCUCCAAUCAGUGAAACUAAUCCCCCCGUGAAGAAGCGGGGAUACAACUAUAAGACGAGAAGACCCCAUGGAGCUUUAGGCAAUGUAUUCACCUCAACCUUAACAAUAUCAAAAUAGCAUCAGAGCCUGACUACAAGCCUUAGGUUGGGGCGACCGCGGAGUAUAACAAAACCUCCACGACAAAACCACACCUUAUCCACGAGCCACAACUCUAAGAAUUAAUAUAUUAAUGUCCAAUGACCCGUCAAUUCGAUCAACGAACCAAGUUACCCUGGGGAUAACAGCGCAAUCUGCUUCGAGAGCCCCUAUCGACAAGCAGGUUUACGACCUCGAUGUUGGAUCAGGGUAUCCCAGUGGUGCAACCGCUACUAAAGGUUCGUUUGUUCAACGAUUAAAACCCUAC
rnacentral:rRNA from 1 species